UACGUAGGUGACCAGCGUUUGUCCGGAUUUACUGGGCGUAAAGAGCGCGCAGGCGGUCGUUCAAGUCGAGUGUGAAAGCCCCCGGCUCAACUGGGGAGGGUCACUUGAUACUGAUCGACUCGAAGGCAGGAGAGGGAAGCGGAAUUCCCGGUGUAGUGGUGAAAUGCGUAGGUAUCGGGAGGAACACCAGUGGCGAAGGCGGCUUCCUGGCCUGUUCUUGACGCUGAGGCUGGCGAAAAGCUAGGGGAGCAAACGGGG
rnacentral:rRNA from 1 species